AGAGUUUGAUCAUGGCUCAGAUUGAACGCUGGCGGCAGGCCUAACACAUGCAAGUCGAGCGGCAGUGGAAGGAAGCUUGCUUCCUUGCCGGCGAGCGGCGGACGGGUGAGUAAGGUAUGGGGAUCUGGCCGAAGGCGGGGGAUAACCACUGGAAACGGUGGCUAAUACCGCAUAAUCUCUAAGGAGCAAAGUGGGGGACCGUUCAGGCCUCACACCUUCGGAUGAACCCAUAUGAGAUUAGCUAGUAGGUGGGGUAAUGGCUCACCUAGGCGACGAUCUCUAGCUGGUCUGAGAGGAUGAUCAGCCACACUGGGACUGAGACACGGCCCAGACUCCUACGGGAGGCAGCAGUGGGGAAUAUUGCACAAUGGGCGCAAGCCUGAUUCAGCCAUGCCGCGUGUAUGAAGAAGGCCUUCGGGUUGUAAAGUACUUUCAGUCGUGAGGAAGGUGUUAAGGUUAAUAACCUUAGCAAUUGACGUUAGCGACAGAAGAAGCACCGGCUAACUCCGUGCCAGCAGCCGCGGUAAUACGGAGAGUGCGAGCGUUAAUCGGAAUUACUGGGCGUAAAGGGCACGCAGGCGGUUAAUUAAGAUGGAUGUGAAAUCCCCGGGCUUA
rnacentral:rRNA from 1 species